AAUUAAAAUGAAAUACCUUAUACAUAUGUUAUAAUAAUAGUACAAUUUAAUCUUAAAAUUGAUAAAUAAGUAUAAAAUAUGAUUAAAAAAUAAUAUUGAUCUAUCAAAAAUAAUUUUGCUAUAUUCAAGAAUAUAUCACCAUGUUUCAGACUGCAUUUGUUGUAUCUUGUUCAUAGCAUAAAACCAAGCACUGGAUGGGUUAACUAGAAAAUUGUCAUUAACUAGCUGUUUGUUUUUAGAUCUUUUUAUAAUUUCCAGUGUUUGAGCAAUGGGUAGUUCAUAUGGGCCACUGAUUUUACUAAUGACUUGGCCUCUUCUCAUUGGAUGUUGAGAUCCUCUUCAUAUGCCUUCCGUGCCAGAAUGGUCAUUAGAACACCUGUUUGGAUGCCAUGUUGGUGCUCUUUCAUCCUUAUGACUAGGUUUCUUUUCAUAGCAUCAGUGUAUGAUUCUUGCCUAGCUAGAGUUUUAUUUUGGAUAGGGAUUCUGUAUAUCCCAUUCUUCUGGUUUUCCUUACAUGCAUCUUUCUCAUUCCUCAAUAAUUGGAAUAUCAUGGAAUUUCUUCUCAAAACUGCUGAAAAUGCUUAUGUUGUAACCAAAAAUACUACAUUUAAGUAAACUUUACUGGC
rnacentral:lncRNA from 1 species